rnacentral:rRNA from 1 species
GCCCAAGGGUCUGGGAUAACCCCGGGAAACUGGGGAUAAUACCGGAUGGAUCACUAGUGCUGGAAUGCUUGGUGGUUUAAAGGCAACGCCUUUGGAUGGGUCUGCGGCGGAUUAGGUUGACGCCGGUGUAACGUACCGGCGUGCCUGUAAUCCGUACGGGUUGUGGGAGCAAGAGCCCGGAGAUGGAUUCUGAGACACGAAUCCAGGCCCUACGGGGCGCAGCAGGCGCGAAAACUCUACAAUGCAGGCAACUGCGAUAGGGGGACAUCGAGUGGCAUCCACCUUGGGUGCCUGUCCAACCGUCUAAAAAACGGUUGUUAGCAAGGGCCGGGUAAGACCGGUGCCAGCCGCCGCGGUAAUACCGGCGGCUCGAGUGGUGGCCGAUAUUAUUGAGUCUAAAGGGUCCGUAGCCGGCUUUGCAAGUCCCCUGGGAAAAUCCAGCGGCUUAACCGUUGGGCUUUCAUGGGAUACUACAUUGCUUGGGACUGGGAGAGGUAGGAGGUACUCGGGGGGUAGGGGUGAAAUCCUGUAAUCCUCCGGGGACCACCGGUGGCGAAGGCGUCCUACCAGAACAGGUCCGACGGUGAGGGACGAAAGCUAGGGGCACGAACCGGAUUAGAUACCCGGGUAGUCCUAGCCGUAAACGAUGCCCGCUAGGUGUCACGACGGUCGUGAAUCGUCGUGGUGCCGUAGGGAAGCCGCGAAGCGGGCCACUUUCGAA